rnacentral:rRNA from 1 species
GACGAACGCUGGCGGCGCGCCUAACACAUGCAAGUCGAACGAGCGAGAGAGAGCUUGCUUUCUCGAGCGAGUGGCGAACGGGUGAGUAACGCGUGAGGAACCUGCCUCAAAGAGGGGGACAACAGUUGGAAACGACUGCUAAUACCGCAUAAGCCCACGACCCGGCAUCGGGGAGAGGGAAAAGGAGCAAUCCGCUUUGAGAUGGCCUCGCGUCCGAUUAGCUAGUUGGUGAGGUAACGGCCCACCAAGGCGACGAUCGGUAGCCGGACUGAGAGGUUGAACGGCCACAUUGGGACUGAGACACGGCCCAGACUCCUACGGGAGGCAGCAGUGGGGAAUAUUGCACAAUGGGGGAAACCCUGAUGCAGCGACGCCGCGUGGAGGAAGAAGGUCUUCGGAUUGUAAACUCCUGUUGUUGAGGAAGAUAAUGACGGUACUCAACAAGGAAGUGACGGCUAACUACGUG